UGCAGUCGAGGGGUAGAAGUCUUCGGGCUUUGAGACCGGCGCACGGGUGCGUAACGCGUAUGCAAUCUGCCUUUCACAGAGGGAUAGCCCAGAGAAAUUUGGAUUAAUACCUCAUAGUAUUACGACUCGGCAUCGAGAUGUAAUUAAAGUCACAACGGUGAAAGAUGAGCAUGCGUCCCAUUAGCUAGUUGGUAAGGUAACGGCUUACCAAGGCUACGAUGGGUAGGGGUCCUGAGAGGGAGAUCCCCCACACUGGUACUGAGACACGGACCAGACUCCUACGGGAGGCAGCAGUGAGGAAUAUUGGUCAAUGGGCGCAAGCCUGAACCAGCCAUGCCGCGUGCAGGAUGACGGUCCUAUGGAUUGUAAACUGCUUUUGUACGAGAAGAAACACUGAUUCGUGAAUCAGCUUGACGGUAUCGUAAGAAUAAGGAUCGGCUAACUCCGUGCCAGCAGCCGCGGUAAUACGGAGGAUCCAAGCGUUAUCCGGAAUCAUUGGGUUUAAAGGGUCCGUAGGCGGUCANGUAAGUCAGUGGUGAAAGCCCAUCGCUCAACGGUGGAACGGCCAUUGAUACUGCUUGACUUGAAUUAUUAGGAAGUAACUAGAAUAUGUAGUGUAGCGGUGAAAUGCUUAGAUAUUACAUGGAAUACCAAUUGCGAAGGCAGGUUACUACUAAUUGAUUGACGCUGAUGGACGAAAGCGUGGGGAGCGAACAGGAUUAGAUACCCUGGUAGUCCACGCCGUAAACGAUGGAUACUAGCUGUUGGGAGCAAUUUCAGUGGCUAAGCGAAAGUGAUAAGUAUCCCACCUGGGGAGUACGAACGCAAGUUUGAAACUCAAAGGAAUUGACGGGGGCCCGCACAAGCGGUGGAGCAUGUGGUUUAAUUCGAUGAUACGCGAGGAACCUUACCAAGGCUUAAAUGCAGACUGACCGAUUUGGAAACAGAUCUUUCGCAAGACAGUUUACAAGGUGCUGCAUGGUUGUCGUCAGCUCGUGCCGUGAGGUGUCAGGUUAAGUCCUAUAACGAGCGCAACCCCUGUUGUUAGUUGCCAGCGAGUNNUGUCGGGAACUCUAACAAGACUGCCAGUGCAAACUGUGAGGAAGGUGGGGAUGACGUCAAAUCAUCACGGCCCUUACGCCUUGGGCUACACACGUGCUACAAUGGCCGGUACAGAGAGCAGCCACUGGGUGACCAGGAGCGAAUCUAUAAAGCCGGUCACAGUUCGGAUCGGAGUCUGCAACUCGACUCCGUGAAGCNGGAAUCGCUAGUAAUCGGANNUCAGCC
rnacentral:rRNA from 1 species